AGCAAUUCUAAAAGAAAGAUUUAUUUUAGAGAAAUCUAACUAAAUUUGAAAAGUUGUCAAAUUGAAAAAAAUAAAGAUUUAUUCUAGUUAAUUUCCUCUAAAACAGAUAUACCCCACUCAUUCUACACUUCAUGAGGUAUUGCAACAUGCACACAGCAAUUGGCAAGACAGGACGCAAUUCUAGAUGGGCCUGGCUUGAUGGCAUGCACAGUUUGCAAAUGGCAUUUGCCAGUUCUAUUGAAUUUCACUUUGGCUUAGAAUGCAAACAGACACGAGAGUCCAGAGAACAGCGAGGCGCAGAGCUGACUCCGUUGCUCUGACUUGGCUUGGUUUGGCUCGGCCUAGAGCCAUUUAGUUAGCUGGAAUUCAACGGGCAAAGCUGCAAGUAAUCUGAUUGCGCAAAGCCAUUUAAAGCUAUUAUUAAAAGAACUUGUGGCUCGGACAACACAGCACAGCACAACACAACACAACGCGACUCUUAACUUGGCUGGCACUUUUAAUUGGCUGUCUGCCUUGUUUCAAUGGGAGGGCGGCAACGUUGGGGAGUUGUCUGUGUGUUGAGAGAUCUUUUUUUUCUUUUGCUGUCGUUGUUGUUGCUGUUUUGUUGUCAUCAACAAACGGUUGUCUGCCAUCACCAUCGCCAUCGCCAUCAUCAGAUUUUGCAACAAACUUACUGCUGCUGCUGCCGUUUGUUGGCCAGUAAUUUACUAGUCAACAGCAGGCAGUUGGCAGUCAGCAGGAUGCCAGGCAAUAUUACGGCCAACAUUAGUUAGAAGCCUGCUACUUUGUCUGCUUAUGAAUGGACCUCAAGUGCAUACAAUUUGAUUGAUUGAUAUGAGCACUCGUUCAUGGUGCACAUUCAUUGCAGCACGUGUCUAUUAUGCCAAUGAGAGCCUUUAUUAGACGCCAUUAAACCCACUUUGAAACUGAA